rnacentral:rRNA from 1 species
UACGAAGGGGGCUAGCGUUGCUCGGAAUCACUGGGCGUAAAGCGCACGUAGGCGGCUUUUUAAGUCAGGGGUGAAAUCCUGGAGCUCAACUCCAGAACUGCCUUUGAUACUGAGGAGCUUGAGUCCGGGAGAGGUGAGUGGAACUGCGAGUGUAGAGGCGAAAUUCGUAGAUAUUCGCAAGAACACCAGUGGCGAAGGCGGCUCACUGGCCCGGUACUGACGCUGAGGUGCGAAAGCGUGGGGAGCAAACAGG